CUCCUGCGAGUCCCAGCGGGAGCAGCCUUCGGGGGCUCCCAGCACCCGGCUCAACAACGUAGACCCUGGCGGCAACGGCAAGGUCGAACAGAGAAGACUUGGGCUCGGACAGCACCCUUGAUCCCUGAGCCCCACUCCUGACCGUCAGGCCGUCUUUAGCGUCCUUACUAGGAAAACUGUCGCUGCAACCUCGGAAAUGGUGAGAAGCGCUCAGUCUCUUGACAUACGUGUCUGCACAAGGCUAGAACCUUCUGUUUUCCCCAAGGGAAGAAGGUUUGACUUUCUGCCCUUCCAGGACUAGCUCUGUGGCUUAGGAUCACAUCCUCUUUCCUGCUAUGGACCCAAACUUUCCAGAAUAUACAUCUGAAAAACACAUUAAAUAAGUUACAGUAUAUCCUUGCAAGAGAAUAAAAGAGAAAGCUCUUUUCCGAUUGAUAUGAUACAAUCUCUGUCAACCUGCUGUGUGAAGAAAGCAAGUGUGAAAGAGAUCAUCUACCUGACACCAGAGAAUAAUAAAAGGAAAAACCACAAAUGUUGGUUCGAAUGACUCUAAAGGAUACACAGAAACUGGUAUUACUGGUUGGGAGGCAAAGCGCUGGAAGUCAGGGAUGGAAGGAAGACUUUCCACCUUAUACAGCUUGCAAAUCUCAUGUCAUAUAUCGUAUUACUUAUUCAGAAUAAGUCAACAAGCCUAUGCAUUUAAAAAAAAAACCAAACAAAAUAAAGGAACUGCAAGAAGCUA